rnacentral:rRNA from 1 species
AGAGUUUGAUCCUGGCUCAGGAUAAACGCUGGCGGCGUGCCUAACACAUGCAAGUCGAACGCUCUGCAUUUCGGUGCAGGGAGUGGCGGACGGGUGAGGAACACGUGGGUGAUCUACCCCGAGGUGAGGAAUACCGGCGAGAAAUCGCCGACAAAACCGCAUAAGCUCGGUCUUUCGAGAGGGCGAGCAAAGUCGCAAGA